rnacentral:rRNA from 1 species
AUUGAACGCUGGCGGCAGGCCUAACACAUGCAAGUCGAGCGAGCGGCGGACGGGUGAGUAAUGUAUGGGGACUGCCCGAUAGAGGGGGAUAACUACUGGAAACGGUAGCUAAUACCGCAUACUAUCGGAUAACCCAUAUGGGAUUAGCUAGUGGGUGAGGUAAUGGCUCACCUAGGCGACGAUCCCUAGCUGGUCUGAGAGGAUGAUCAGCAACACUGGGACUGAGACACGGCCCAGACUACUACGGAGGCAGCAGUGGGGAAUAUUGCACAAUGGGCGCAAGCCUGAUGCAGCCAUGCCGCGUGUAUGAAGAAGGCCUUAGGGUUGUAAAGUACUUUCAGUGAGGAGGCGUUACCGGCAGAAGAAGCACCGGCUAACUCCGUGCCAGCAGCCGCGGUAAUUC